rnacentral:rRNA from 1 species
CUGAUGCAGCCAUGCCGCGUGUGUGAAGAAGGCCUUCGGGUUGUAAAGCACUUUCAGUUGUGAGGAAAAGUUAGUAGUUAAUACCUGCUAGCCGUGACGUUAACAACAGAAGAAGCACCGGCUAACUCCGUGCCAGCAGCCGCGGUAAUACGGAGGGUGCGAGCGUUAAUCGGAAUUACUGGGCGUAAAGCGCACGCAGGCGGUUUGUUAAGCUAGAUGUGAAAGCCCCGGGCUCAACCUGGGAUGGUCAUUUAGAACUGGCAGACUAGAGUCUUGGAGAGGGGAGUGGAAUUCCAGGUGUAGCGGUGAAAUGCGUAGAUAUCUGGAGGAACAUCAGUGGCGAAGGCGACUCCCUGGCCAAAGACUGACGCUCAUGUGCGAAAGUGUGGGUAGCGAACAGGAUUAGAUACCCUGGUAGUCCACACCGUAAACGCUGUCUACUAGCUGUGUGUGUCUUUAAGACGUGCGUAGCGAAGCUAACGCGCUAAGUAGACCGCCUGGGGAGUACGGCCGCAAGGUUAAAACUCAAAUGAAAUUU